rnacentral:rRNA from 1 species
GACGGAAGGUGCAAGCGUUGCUCGGAAUCACUGGGCGUAAAGGGUGCGUAGGCGGUUUGUCGCGUCUGCCGUGAAAGUCCGGGGCUCAACUCCGGAUCUGCGGUGGGUACGGGCAGACUAGAGUGAUGUAGGGGAGACUGGAAUUCCUGGUGUAGCGGUGAAAUGCGCAGAUAUCAGGAGGAACACCGAUGGCGAAGGCAGGUCUCUGGGCAUUAACUGACGCUGAGGAGCGAAAGCAUGGGGAGCGAACAGG